GCGGCGUGGAUAAGACAUGCAAGUCGAACGGGAGAAUUGCUAGCUUGCUAAUAAUUCUCUAGUGGCGCACGGGUGAGUAACACGUGAGUAACCUGCCUCUUAGUGGGGGAUAGCCCUGGGAAACCGGGAUUAAUACCGCAUACGAUUGAAAGAUCAAAGCAGCAAUGCGCUAGGAGAUGGGCUCGCGGCCUAUUAGUUAGUUGGUGAGGUAACGGCUCACCAGGGCGAUGACGGGUAGCCGGUCUGAGAGGAUGUCCGGCCACACUGGAACUGAGACACGGUCCAGACACCUACGGGUGGCAGCAGUCGAGAAUCAUUCACAAUGGGGGCAACCCUGAUGGUGCGACGCCGCGUGGGGGAAUGAAGGUCUUCGGAUUGUAAACCCCUGUCAUGUGGGAGCAAAUUAAAAAGAUAGUACCACAAGAGGAAGAGACGGCUAACUCUGUGCCAGCAGCCGCGGUAAUACAGAGGUCUCAAGCGUUGUUCGGAAUCACUGGGCGUAAAGCGUGCGUAGGCUGUUUCGUAAGUCGUGUGUGAAAGGCAGGGGCUCAACCCCUGGAUUGCACAUGAUACUGCGAGACUAGAGUAAUGGAGGGGGAACCGGAAUUCUCGGUGUAGCAGUGAAAUGCGUAGAUAUCGAGAGGAACACUCGUGGCGAAGGCGGGUUCCUGGACAUUAACUGACGCUGAGGCACGAAGGCCAGGGGAGCGAAAGGGAUUAGAUACCCCUGUAGUCCUGGCAGUAAACGGUGCACGCUUGGUGUGCGGGGAAUCGACCCCCUGCGUGCCGGAGCUAACGCGUUAAGCGUGCCGCCUGGGGAGUACGGUCGCAAGAUUAAAACUCAAAGAAAUUGACGGGGACCCGCACAAGCGGUGGAGUAUGUGGCUUAAUUCGAUGCAACGCGAAGAACCUUACCUGGGCUUGACAUGUAAUGAACAACAUGUGAAAGCAUGCGACUCUUCGGAGGCGUUACACAGGUGCUGCAUGGCCGUCGUCAGCUCGUGUCGUGAGAUGUUUGGUUAAGUCCAGCAACGAGCGCAACCCCUGUUGCCAGUUACCAGCACGUCAAGGUGGGGACUCUGGCGAGACUGCCCAGAUCAACUGGGAGGAAGGUGGGGACGACGUCAGGUCAGUAUGGCCCUUAUGCCCAGGGCUGCACACGUACUACAAUGCCCAGUACAGAGGGGGCCGAAGCCGCGAGGCGGAGGAAAUCCUGAAAACUGGGCCCAGUUCGGACUGUAGGCUGCAACCCGCCUACACGAAGCCGGAAUCGCUAGUAAUGGCGCAUCAGCUACGGCGCCGUGAAUACGUUCCCGGGUCUUGUACACACCGCCCGUCACAUCAUGGAAGCCGGUCGCACCCGAAGUAUCUGAAGCCAACCGCAAGGAGGCAGGGUCCUAAGGUGAGACUGGUAACUGGGAUGAAGUCAUAAC
rnacentral:rRNA from 1 species